AGAGCGGGUCGCCGCGUGC
rnacentral:snRNA from 1 species